UACGUAGGGUGCGAGCGUUAAUCGGAAUUACUGGGCGUAAAGCGUGCGCAGGCGGUUUUGUAAGCCAGAUGUGAAAUCCCCGGGCUUAACCUGGGAAUGCAUUUGGGGACUGCAAGGCUUGAGUGCGGCAGAGGAGACUGGAAUUCCUGGUGUAGCAGUGAAAUGCGUUAGAUAUCAGGAGGAACACCGAUGGCGAAAGGCAGGUCUCUGGGCUGACACUGACGCUCAUGCACGAAAGCGUGGGAGCGAACAA
rnacentral:rRNA from 1 species